rnacentral:rRNA from 1 species
AUACGUAGGGGGCAAGCGUUGUCCGGAAUUAUUGGGCGUAAAGCGCGCGCAGGCGGUCCUUUAAGUCUUGUGUUUAAGCCCGGGGCUCAACCCCGGGACGCAUGGGAAACUGGGGGACUGGAGUGCAGGAGAGGAAAGUGGAAUUCCACGUGUAGCGGUGAAAUGCGUAGAGAUGUGGAGGAACACCAGUGGCGAAGGCGACUUUCUGGCCUUUAACUGACGCUGAGGCGCGAGAGCGUGGGGAGCAAACAGGAUUAGAUACCCUGGUAGUCCACGCCGUAAACGAUGAGUGCUAGGUGUCGGGGGUUUCGAUACCCUCGGUGCCGAAGUAAACACAGUAAGCACUCCGCCUGGGGAGUACGCUCGCAAGAGUGAA